rnacentral:antisense_RNA from 1 species
UUUGAUCGUGCCGAGCCACGCCGGCCGGUCCGCCGAGCGUCCUCGGCCGUAGGUGGCGAGCAGCGCCUGCGCCUC